AUUGAACGCUGGCGGCAUGCCUUACACAUGCAAGUCGAACGGCAGCACGGGGGCAACUCUGGUGGCGAGUGGCGAACGGGUGAGUAAUAUAUCGGAACGUACCCUGGAGUGGGGGAUAACGUAGCGAAAGUUACGCUAAUACCGCAUACGAUCUAAGGAUGAAAGUGGGGGACCCGCAAGGGCCUCAUGCUCGUGGAGCGGCCGAUAUCUGAUUAGCUAGUUGGUAGGGUAAAAGCCUACCAAGGCAUCGAUCAGUAGCUGGUCUGAGAGGACGACCAGCCACACUGGAACUGAGACACGGUCCAGACUCCUACGGGAGGCAGCAGUGGGGAAUUUUUGGGACAAUGGGCGCAAGCCUGAUCCAGCAAUGCCGCGUGAGUGAAGAAGGCCUUCGGGUUGUAAAGCUCUUUUGUCAGGGAAGAAACGGGUUGGUUUAAUACACUGAUCUAAUGACGGUACCUGAAGAAUAAAG
rnacentral:rRNA from 1 species